GACGAACGCUGGCGGCGUGCUCAACACAUGCAAGUCGAACGGGAUUUAGUAAACAGAAACCUCGGUGGAAGAUUACUAAUGAGAGUGGCGAACGGGUGAGUAACGCGUGAGCAACCUGCCUAUGACAGUGGGAUAGCCUCGGGAAACCGGGAUUAAUACCGCAUAAAAUCGUAGAAACACAUGUUUUAACGGUCAAAGAUUUAUCGGUCAUAGAUGGGCUCGCGUCUGAUUAGCUAGUUGGUGAGAUAACAGCCCACCAAGGCGACGAUCAGUAGCCGGUCUGAGAGGAUGAACGGCCACAUUGGAACUGAGACACGGUCCAAACUCCUACGGGAGGCAGCAGUGGGGAAUAUUGCACAAUGGGGGAAACCCUGAUGCAGCGACGCCGCGUGAACGAAGAAGGUAUUCGUAUCGUAAAGUUCUGUCCUAUGGGAAGAUAAUGACAGUACCAUAGAAGAAAGCUCCGGCUAAAUACGUG
rnacentral:rRNA from 1 species